CUAGAUAGAUGGGCUUCGAUCCCAUAAACUUUUAGUUAACAGCUAAACACCUUAACCAACAGGCUUCUAUCCG
rnacentral:tRNA from 1 species